rnacentral:rRNA from 1 species
AUGCAGUCGAGCGAGACCGAUGGGAGCUUGCUCCCUGAUGUUAGCGGCGGACGGGUGACUAACACGUGGGUAACCUGCCUGUAAGACUGGGUAUAAGCUCCGGGCAAACCGGGGCUAAUACCGGCAUGCUUGUUUGAACCGCAUGGGUCACCACAUAAAAGGUGGCUUCGGCUACCACUUACAGAUGGACCCGCGGCGCAUUACCUAGUUGGUGAGGUAACGGCUCACCAAGGCGACGAUGCGUAACCGACCUGAGAGGGUGAUCGGCCACACUGGGACUGAAACACGGCCCAGACUCCUACGGGAGGCAGCAGUAUGGAAUCUUCCGCAAUGGACGAAAGUCUGACGGAGCAACGCCGCGUGAGUGAUGAAGGUUUUCGGAUCGUAAAGCUCUGUUGUUAGGGAAGAACAAGUGCCGUUCAAAUAGGGCGGCACCUUGACGGUACCUAACCAGAAAGCCACGGCUAACUACGUGCCAGCAGCCGCGGUAAUACGUAGGUGGCAAGCGUUGUCCGGAAUUAUUGGGCGUAAAGGGCUCGCAGGCGGUUUCUUAAGUCUGAUGUGAAAGCCCCCGGCUCAACCGGGGAGGGUCAUUGGAAACUGGGGAACUUGAGUGCAGAAGAGGAGAGUGGAAUUCCACGUGUAGCGGUUAAAUGCGUAGAGAUGUGGAGGAACACCAGUGGCGAARGCGACUCUCUGGUCUGUAACUGACGCUGAGGAGCGAAAGCGUGGGGGAGCGAACAGGAUUAGAUACCCUGGUAGUCCACGCCGUAAACGAUGAGUGCUAAGUGUUAGGGGGGUUUUCCGCCCCUUAGUGCUGCAGCUAACGCAUUAAGCACUCCGCCCUGGGGGAGUACGGUCGCAAGACUGAAACUCAAAGGGAAUUGACCGGGGGCCCGCACAAGCGGUGGAAGCAUGGUGGGUUUAUUUCGAAAGCAACGCGGAGAUCUUACAGGUCUGACAUCUCUGACAUCUAGAGAUAGACGUCCCCUUUCGGGGGGCAGGAGUUGACA